CUGUGUGGCCGCGCAGAUGUUGAUCGAAACAUCGUCGGUCGCACAUUUGACCAGAUUUGGUAUCGGAUUCAUGAGUUCUGCUUGAAGUUUGCCAACAUCUCUUUUGAUGAGACACCCACACCGGAGGGAACUGUUGGCAUUGACUUUGCUGCCCUCACGCGCAAGGCCAAGCAGGCAAGGCAGCAGCAAUGCUGUGUUUGUGGUGAGACAGGGGCAGCCAUCACAUGCGCAGAGAGCGGCUGUGAACGGAGCUUCCACCUGCCCUGCGCCACGGAC